rnacentral:rRNA from 1 species
UACGAAGGGGGCUAGCGUUGUUCGGAAUUACUGGGCGUAAAGCGCACGUAGGCGGAUAUUUAAGUCAGAGGUGAAAUCCCAAGGCUCAACCUUGGAACUGCCUUUGAUACUGGGGAUCUUGAGUCCGGGAGAGGUGAGUGGAACUGCGAGUGUAGAGGUGAAAUUCGUAGAUAUUCGCAAGAACACCAGUGGCGAAGGCGGCUCACUGGCCCGGUACUGACGCUGAGGUGCGAAAGCGUGGGGAGCAAACAGG